CCUGGCUGCUGUCUGGCACUUCUGCCUCCCCGCUGCUCCUCACGCUGAUCUCAGGCAGUGGACGCCUGUCAGAUUCAUCCCACCAGACGUGAAUCUUGCUGCUCAUCAAGGCCCUGGGGACCCAAUACCAAAGGGAGUGGCCCCGCCCAGAGGCAGCCUUGACUGCACUGAUGCCUCCGCUGACCAAGCUACCAAGCCCAGGCCAUCAGAGCUGGGCUCCAGGGCCUUUUCAUCCUCAGCCAUCACUACAGCUCCUUCCAGCUCCACCUCCACCUCCCGGCACCCAGGCCGCACCCACGGGUCCGGGCCAGGCAGCUCGAGAGCCAUAGUAAUGCGUCCAGUGACAGCUCACCUCGGGGCCUGAAGGGGCACAUCAUGCAGUUUCAGGCUCAGGCCUGGGAGUUUUCACGGAUUUGGGUCCAGAUCCCUUCUCCUCACUGACCGGCUCUGGGCACCUGGGUGAGCCACUCAUCCUCCGAGCCUGAGUUCCUGCAGCUUCCGGAUGGGGACAGGGCUGGGAGUUCCGGUCCAUCGUGGUCAGAGGACACGGGUUCCUCCGACCCGACCGGCUCCACCACAAACCCAAGAGCAGUGAGGACCUGAUGCCCAGCAGGGACGCAGCACUCUGCCCCGCCUCGCGAUGCCAGCACCCCAGGAUACA